rnacentral:rRNA from 1 species
AGCAGUAGCCACGGGAAUACGAAGGGGGCUAGCGUUGCUCGGAAUGACUGGGCGUAAAGCGUGCGUAGGCGGCUUUUUAAGUCGGAUGUGAAAUCCCUGAGCUUAACUUAGGAAUUGCAUUCGAUACUGGGAAGCUAGAGUAUGGGAGAGGAUGGUAGAAUUCCAGGUGUAGCGGUGAAAUGCGUAGAGAUCUGGAGGAAUACCGAUGGCGAAGGCAGCCAUCUGGCCUAAUACUGACGCUGAGGUACGAAAGCAUGGGGAGCAAACAGGAUUAGAUACCCCUGUAGUCCCUGUCUCUUAUAA